ACAGUUGCUCGUAGAUGUACACUCUACAAGACUACGAUUGCUCGAGGAUACCGCACCCCAAGACUUUACCUUGCUCGUGGAUACCACACCACAAGACUUCACACACUAAGACUUAGGGUACUUAGCGAACCCGACAAAUGAGAAGAUAUGUUCUUCUCAAACACCUUUCUCCUCUUACACAAGAACUCUCUCAAAAGAGUGGAUAAAGAGAUACAAAUUUAGCUCUAUGAACAACACA
rnacentral:lncRNA from 1 species